AUACAUUUCUCCGUCUUUUAACUAAGAUAAAGUGUAAUAUACAUUUUUAUCAGUUUAAUAUCUAAUAUGUGGACAUGUACGUUUUAUUAUUAAGUUUAUUUUCAUGGAUAUCAAAUAUAAUUAUGUCUCGUCGCAACACAUUAGAUUAGUCUUCCUCAGGAGUUACGGCCGCUCCGAUUGGGCAUUCGGGU
rfam:Zea mays cultivar B73 chromosome 5, whole genome shotgun sequence.